rnacentral:rRNA from 1 species
GAAGGGUUCCGGGGAAAGGGAGGCCUCUGAUACAAGCUUUCGCCUUAAGAUGAGCCCAUGGCCCAUCAGCUAGUUGGUAGGGUAAAGGCCUACCAAGGCUACGACGGGUCGCUGGUCUGAGAGGACGACCAGCCACACUGGCACUGAGAUACGGGCCAGACUCCUACGGGAGGCAGCAGUGAGGAAUAUUGCGCAAUGGGGGAAACCCUGACGCAGCAACGCCGCGUGUGGGAAGAAGGCCUUCGGGUCGUAAACCACUUUUGCACGGGACGAAAAAGGGAUAUCGAACAAAUAUCCCCGAUGACGGUACCGUGAGAAUAAGCCACGGCUAACUCUGUGCCAGCAGCCGCGGUAAGACAGAGGUGGCAAGCGUUGUUCGGAAUUACUGGGCGUAAAGAGU